rnacentral:rRNA from 1 species
AUUGAACGCUGGCGGCAUGCUUUACACAUGCGAGUCGAACGGUAACAGGGAGCUUGCUCCGCUGACGAGUGGCGAACGGGUGAGUAAUAUAUCGGAACGUACCCAAGAGUGGGGGAUAACGUAGCGAAAGUUACGCUAAUACCGCAUACGAUCUAUGGAUGAAAGCAGGGGACCUUCGGGCCUUGUGCUCCUGGAGCGGCCGAUAUCUGAUUAGCUAGUUGGUGAGGUAAAGGCUCACCAAGGCGACGAUCAGUAGCUGGUCUGAGAGGACGACCAGCCACACUGGAACUGAGACACGGUCCAGACUCCUACGGGAGGCAGCAGUGGGGAAUUUUGGACAAUGGGCGCAAGCCUGAUCCAGCAAUGCCGCGUGAGUGAAGAAGGCCUUCGGGUUGUAAAGCUCUUUUGUCAGGGAAGAAACGGCUGUGGCUAAUAUCCACGGCUAAUGACGGUACCUGAAGAAUAAGCACCGGCUAACUACGUG